GCCACAUUUUAAUGUGGAGGUGGCGAUCCUCGUCAAGCUCCUCUAGAUGAGCAAGCUCGUUUCGGUCCAAAGGACCGAUCGCCGCGGGAUCAGGGUGGACAUUGGUUAUUUAAACACGCCAAUUAUUCGCCUUGUCAUAUUGCGCAUCAAAGGCACUCAGUAUUUGUACAAGAGACGGUGCCGUCCGGCCUCUCACUGAGACUCCGAUCGAUACCGCUGAUUGUCCGCGACUGCCGUUGCAGCUACUUCGUAUGGAGCAUUCCACUAUCCGCAACCUGUGGACGCGCCCGGUAGCUUGCAGCUUAGCUUGUCGUGAUAGCAAUGAACACCACACAAAUUGGAGCUCAAUGUCCCAGCCUUGUUGCGUGGCCUAAUUGGACAUAUUGUCCCCACUUUCGGGACGCAAGGAGAAUAGAAAGAAUGGGGGAAAAAAAUUUUGCGUGGAAAGGCCUUUCGGGUGGGCCUUUAGGCCUUCGUGUACUCCCUGACGGCUUCUGUACUCCCUGACGGCUGCGUGUUAAUGAGAGUCAGGUUGGCAUUAUUCACAUUUGACAGCAGGACACGGUGUUAUCGGCCGAUAUUGCCACUCAUUACUACUCGUAGUAAGUUGUUGGUAGUUAGUGGGAUCCGUAGAGUACGGUUGAUAAUGACGUGUAGUAGGUUGAUUCAUUCAUAAAUUCGUAGCGGUUAUGAGAGAAAAUUAUUCGAAACCGAGAUGAAUUGUUAGAAAAGGCCAAAUAUAACGAUAAUUGUGAGAAUAUUUAGUAAAAAUGUCGGACAGCGUCCAAUAUGUCGUGUCUGGAAAUACGCCAUUGCAUCAACUCUGGCCUAUAAAAAGGCAUAGAAAGGGGAAAAACGCCAUUAGUGUGAAGAAAGUGGUGCUGAGCAGGCACAGAAUAUUAGUGAUCUAUAUGUCGUUUUUGGUUAUUAAUUGGAGGAUAGAGCUUAAAGACAAUUUUUAUUUAAAUAAUUAAUGCCCCUGUGAUUGCUAAAGGCGGCGUUAUAAAUCUAGUUGAAAAAUUGUCUAAGAGAAUAUUGGCAUUGCUUCCUACACCGUGGUAGCCCGAAAAUCCACGUCGCAACGAGCGGUUGUUGCAGGGAUAAGAAAGUCCGUCCUUCCUAUGGUUCACCAUUACAGCAACUCCAUCUAGACGUCACCACUUCUUCAAUUUGUCUUUUGCUGUAACGAAGUGGUUAAACCACCUAUACAUGGACGUCCGUGAGAGCAAAAGCUCAGCACCACAACAAAAAUUGAAUUCCACAAUUCUACCAGCUUUGUUUUUGUUGUUCUUUUGUGCUUUAUUGUCAUCCACAGACGCAUAUAUAUAAUCUUGUGUGUCAUCGUUUUGGUACUCACGCACACAUUUACCCUCAGGCACCAACUUCGACAUCCACUACACUUGUUGUUUUAGUUUCGAUCGCAUCGCUCCAUUAAUAUUGUCUCGCAUGAUACAAGUAGCCAACGAGACUGAUGCGACAAAAAUCUUGGCAUUAACAAAACGAGCCACACCAUAUAACAAAAAGAUCUAUAAUUAUCAUGACCAAUAUUAUUAAUAUUUAAGUUUAUUUAUUUAUAUUUAUGUUAUUUUUCUGAUCAAGAAUG